AGAUUGAACGCUAGCGGGAUGCUUUACACAUGCAAGUCGAACGGCAGCGCGGACUUCGGUCUGGCGGCGAGUGGCGAACGGGUGAGUAAUAUAUCGGAACGUGCCCAGUAGCGGGGGAUAACUACGCGAAAGCGUGGCUAAUACCGCAUACGCCCUACGAGGGAAAGGGGGGAUUCUUCGGAACCUCUCACUAUUGGAGCGGCCGAUAUCAGAUUAGCUAGUUGGUGAGGUAAAGGCUCACCAAGGCGACGAUCUGUAGCUGGUUUGAGAGGACGACCAGCCACACUGGGACUGAGACACGGCCCAGACUCCGUACGGGAGCAGCA
rnacentral:rRNA from 1 species